rnacentral:rRNA from 1 species
UACGUAGGGAGCAAGCGUUGUCCGGAAUCAUUGGGCGUAAAGCGCGCGUAGGUGGCUCCGUAAGUCCGUUGUGAAAGUCAAAGGCUCAACCUUUGAAAGCCGAUGGAUACUGUGGAGCUAGAGUACGGAAGAGGCGAGUGGAAUUCCUGGUGUAGCGGUGGAAUGCGCAGAUAUCAGGAGGAACACCAAUAGCGAAGGCAGCUCGCUGGGACGUUACUGACACUGAGGCGCGAAAGCGUGGGGAGCAAACAGG